rnacentral:tRNA from 3 species
GCGCUCGUAGCUCAGCUGGAUAGAGUACCUGGCUACGAACCAGGCGGUCAGAGGUUCGAAUCCUCUCGAGC